rfam:Schistosoma curassoni strain Dakar, Senegal genome assembly, scaffold: SCTD_scaffold0005046
AUCCAGCUGAUGAGUCCCAAAUCGGACGAAACUUACUUCCUGGAU